CCUUAACCCUAGUCAAUCCAGCCUGUUCAGCAAAUGAGGAGCGACUACAGGCAUCCGGGGAACGAAAUUAAUGAGAGGGUGUCAGCAAAGGGAGGGGCUCUCCAUCCUAACCCAGAAGCCCAUUCUGGCUUCGGUACUGCGCCAUUCGACUGCAGCACGUCUCGGCCCCGGUUUAUUGCGGCUGAACAGCCCUUGUCGCCAAGGUUCCGGGCCAGCUUCCGCUGCCGCGGCUUCCUGAGCGCCGCCUCCGUAGCCCCGCCCAGGCCGCUCCACCGCCGCAGUCACUGCAGUCCUUGUCGCUGCCGGUAGCCUGUCGCUUGUCUCCUCCUGCGCCGCCGCCGCCGCCGCCGCCGCCGCCGCCUGAUAGCCCGGGCCUUCGCAGCUGCCUCCGGAGCGUCCAUCAUAAUUCUUCAACUGGAAGAUAUCAUUGGAGAUAUUGGAGAGGAAUGGGACAGGAGAAGGAGGAGAUCAUGGGAGGAAGAAGACAAAAGUGGAAGUAGAUAAGGGAGAGAAAAAGGGUGAAAUCAUUUUGCAUCUGUACAUCACAGCUGGUCUCAAGGCCAGGAUGAGAUGACGAGAGACUGGCAACAGCAGCAGCAGCAGCAAAGUUUGCUAAAGAAGUUAUAGAAGAGCACUUAGAAGUUGUAGACAGAAGGGUCAGGAAUUCAACGUUAUACUUAGCCACAGAGCAAAUUAUGGAGUACUGGGGUACUUGCAAACCUGUCUCAAAAACAAAUGGGGACUGGAGAUGAGGUUAAUAACCUUUAUAACCUUUUUUUAGUUCCAAUGGGUUCUGUGCUUUCUUCUGGCCUUUGGAACCAAGAAUGCAUGAAGUGCACAUACAUAAAUUCAGGCAAAAACUAUACACAUGAAUUUAUUUUAAAUCUCUUAAAAAUAAUUAAUAAUCAUUGAAGAAUUGAGCUGACUGAAAAAAUAUUAGCACAAUCCAUAGUAAUGCCCAACAGGACUCACACUGGCCAUACAGGUGUAUUUUCAUUUAAGAUGCUGUGGGGUAUGCACUGGGAAGAAUAAAAUUGGAGUUGAAUUUACUCAAGAAUUAUAGGAGCUGGGAAAUUCAUAUAUAUAUAUAUGUAUAUACAUAUACAUAUAUAUAUAUAUGUGUGUGUGUAUAUAUAUGCACACACACACACUCUCAUUUGAGCUUUUUAUAACCACCAUAAAUAAUGGUGCAAUAAUAAGUAUAAUUUAUUAACUUUUAAGCAAUUAUAAAUGAUAUGAGUACUGUAUGGGGUUUGCUGUUAUGACAGAUUAAAAAACUGAAUAUCCUAAAAUUGAUGGGGAUUUAGAUUUUGAGAGGAUUAGUAAACUUGAGAAACAAGUGGUAAAAAAUAAAAACAUUAGUAUGGAAAUUGUUCAACUAUACAUUUAUGUUACACCUGAAUGUAAACAGACUUCUCAUUCAUUUUCAGGCUUCCCAGACCCAAAUAAUCACACAAACUGUAUUGAUUACAACUGUGUUUUGCUAAUAGCUUAGGUGUAUUCCUAGAUAAUAACGAAGGAGACAGACACUGGAAAAUUAACCAGUAGGGCACAAUCUUGUGGUGAUGCAUAGAUCAAUAGAAAUGACUUAAUUUAAGAUGUAACAGUUAGUUAAUAAGAAGCCUGAGAUAAUAGAUCAAGCUGUGUUUUA